GUUUCCUACGGGACGCAGCAGUGAGGAAUAUUGGUCAAUGGGCGCGAGCCUGAACCAGCCAAGUCGCGUGAGGGAAGACGGUCCUAUGGAUUGUAAACCUCUUUUGUCGGGGAGCAAAAGACGCCACGUGUGGCGUUCCGAGUGUACCCGAAGAAUAAGCAUCGGCUAACUCCGUGCCAGCAGCCGCGGUAAUACGGAGGAUGCGAGCGUUAUCCGGAUUUAUUGGGUUUAAAGGGUGCGCAGGCGGAAGAUCAAGUCAGCGGUAAAAUUGAGCGGCUCAACCUCUUC
rnacentral:rRNA from 1 species